AAAGCUGAGCUGAGAGCUGAGGAUUGGGGAAGUGGGGAAGGACUGUUCUACUAUGACCGACCUUGAUUGAAUAGCUACAGAAUUCAUUGGAGAACCCAGCAGCUUUUCACUGAGCAAGGAACUGAUCACACUAAAGUGUAAGAAGUGGAUUUAUUUAGAGAGACACACAAUCCAGAGAGUGGAGUGCCUCAGAAGAUAGAGAUCUUCCAGGUCCCCAAGUACCUCAGCACCACAGGUGAAACUUUAUCCUUGGUCAGCUUGAGGUAUUGCAUUGCAAACCAAUCAAUCCUGCCUGAUCUUUCAAAGUCUGCAAAAGCCUAAGUGACCUGUUACACGGCCUGCCCAAAGGACAUGGGCUUUGUCAUCUACAACACAGAAGAAGAGAUCCAAUCUUAAGUUGAGACAAAAGUGGGGUCUACAGUGUUUUCUUUGUCAGGGAGUUUUCUGUGUCAAAUCAGUACUGCAGAUGUAACCUUGCAAUUUCUGGGCCUUAAGAGAAUGGCAGUUUCC